rnacentral:rRNA from 1 species
AUUGAACGCUGGCGGCAGGCCUAACACAUGCAAGUCGAGCGGAUGAGAGGAGCUUGCUCCUCGAUUCAGCGGCGGACGGGUGAGUAAUGCCUAGGAAUCUGCCUGAUAGUGGGGGACAACGUUUCGAAAGGAACGCUAAUACCGCAUACGUCCUACGGGAGAAAGCAGGGGGCCUUCGGGCCUUGCGCUAUCAGAUGAGCCUAGGUCGGAUUAGCUAGUCGGUGAGGUAAUGGCUCACCAAGGCGACGAUCCGUAACUGGUCUGAGAGGAUGAUCAGUCACACUGGAGCUGAGACACGGUCCAGACUCCUACGGGAGGCAGCAGUGGGGAAUAUUGGACAAUGGGCGAAAGCCUGAUCCAGCCAUGCCGCGGGUGUGAAGAAGGUCUUCGGAUUGUAAAGCACUUUAAGUUGGGAGGAAGGGUUGUAGAUUAAUACUCUGCAAUUUUGACGUUACCGACAGAAUAAGCACCGGCUAACUCUGUGCCAGCCGCCGCGGUAAAAC